GAUGAACGCUGGCGGCGUGCCUAAUACAUGCAAGUCGAGCGAACAGACGAGGAGCUUGCUCCUCUGACGUUAGCGGCGGACGGGUGAGUAACACGUGGAUAACCUACCUAUAAGACUGGGUUAACUUCGGGAAACCGGGGCUAAUACCGGAUAAUAUAUUUAACCGCAUUGUUCAAUAGUGUAAUACGGUUUUUCUGUCACUUAUAGAUGGAUCCGCGCCGCAUUAGCUAGUUGGUAAGGUAACGGCUUACCGAGGCAACGAUGCGUAGCCGAUCUGAGAUGGUGAGCGGCAACACCGGGAUGGAGACACGGUCCAGACUCCUACGGGAGGCAGCAGUAGGGAAUGUUCCGUUAUUGGAGAAAGCCUGACGGAGCAAAGCCGCGUGAGGGAUGAAGUUCCUCGGAUCGUAAAACUCUGUUAUUAGGGAAGAACAAAUGAGUAAGUAACUAUGCACGUCUUGACGGUACCUAAUCAGAAAGUCACGGCUAACUCCGUG
rnacentral:rRNA from 1 species